rnacentral:lncRNA from 1 species
GAAUUUUCCUCAAAGCUUCAUUGUCUAAACUCUGAACCUCAUCAUAACCUCAGUUCUGCCUAGCUCCAUAACUAGUAGGUUUCACAAUUUGAUGUCCUCUUGCUGUGCUGACCCACUUGGAACUGGCUCUGACAUUCUGCCACCAACACACAGGAAGCAAACAGGUUUUUUUCUACUGGUGUUGGUGUACUUUGUGCUCAGAGAAUAGAAUAUCCCAGGGGAGUGUCAAACCAUGAGAAAAGGAAAGGUUACCAAGCAACGGCUUCAGGCAAAUCACCUCAGAUCUGCUCUCCAUUCCCCCAGGGUUGUGGGGGUCCGAAGCACAAGCAGAUGUCUGGAGGGAGCUAUUACUCACAUCCUCCCCUUCUUAAUUUCCCCUUCUUAAUUUCGCUCGGUGGCAGUAGCAGCAGUCACAGACCAAUCUCUAUCACUUCAGGAAAGAAGGGGGCAGAAACAGAUGCGUAGAGCAGCUUCUGAAGAUCAGCAGGCCUGUGCAGCAUCAUCUGAGGGUCCCCAGAAUUAAAGCAACAUGAAACCCUUCAUACUGAGUGUGGCCACUUCCCACUGACCAUGACUCACAAAUGGUGAGGCCACCUGACAGCGUUGAAGAUAAUUACUAUUCAUCCUCUUCUGCUAAUAGAAACUAUUUUCUCCCCUAAUCUAGGUUUCCAAUUUUAGAAGCUGCCCUGUCCUCAUAAAAGAAUUACCAGGAAGGUAGGAGGUUUGUUUGUUUGCUUUUCUGUGCAUCUAAGUACCCUGACAAUCUAAUCUCUGGAGAGUCUCAGUAACCAGGCAACACAAGUCAUGCUCCAAUUGUGCGGUCCUCAAUCCACUUUUCCUGUGCUAUUCCAGUUCAAAGUAAGAAUACCAAAGCCAGAACUGCAGAAGAUAAAUGUGGAUCUUUAUUACUACAAGCAGAUAACGGGGUCUGCCCCCUCUUCUUAUUGCUGAGUAGAAAUUCUGAGGCAAGUGCUUUUAAAAAGACUAGAACAGCACAUUUUACCUAAGAAUAAGAUUAUAGCUAGUAACCUGUUUUUCUUACAAAAAAAGAAAAUGGAAGGAGAUAGCUUUUGUCUGGUGACAGUUUAUUUUAACCCAGAUGCUUCCUCCACUUGUAAUUUGGCCUCAUUUGUGUUUUCAGAAACAUCACCAAUUCAGACGGGUUUCUUGGGUAAGGACUUAAUGGACAAGGUUAAACACAGCUGUUCUGGUGCCUGAAAUCCUUAAGAGUCUAGCAGGACCGGAGCAAGUAAAAUAAACUCAGAAAGAGCUGUCUGGAUCAGUGUUUCUAGAGACAAAAUGAGUAUAAAUGAGCAUGGAGUCAACAGGCCUCCUGGGUCAAGGUCAGAGGCAACCUGGGGACACGGAUUAACAGCGGAAGAACACUGCCUAUAGUACAUUUGCUAUGAGACAGCACAGAAUUGGACAUUCUGGCCUUUAAUCAUCAGGCUAUCACAAGGAAAAGUGGUCCAGAUUUAGUACUGUGUCAGCACUUUUUAUAAUAAAUGCUUCAUUUACUAGGAAUUUAGCUAUCGAGUUGCAGAUGAUAAAAAUGACACUCAAAUGCAAGGUCAAACAGCAAACAUUUAUAAUUCCUGUCUAUUAGCUAAAUACACAGUCCUAAUUAUCCAGGUGAAAGGGGUAAUUGUUUUCCCAAACAGUGCCUCAAUCUCCAGUGAUUUACAAAGCACUUUUACACACAUCAUCUCGUCACAGUGGUGUGUAUGCCCUUGUUACACAGAUGGAUUGAACUGGAAAUUGUUUCAUUUGCCAGUUUUAAGUAUCUUCCUUUUCCCUGUGGGUGGUUUCUGUAAGGCCUGAUGGACAUAUUAUCAUCUGGAUCUUCCAGGCAAUGACACCUCUAAAGAGGCCGAUGAACUAGAACUAUCAGUUCUAACACCUUAGGCAAGAAUCCCUCAAUCUCUCUGGGUUUCAGCUUCUUCAUGUGUAUACUGUAGAUAUGUUGUCAAAAUUGUGCUAAUCUUCACCAACUAAUAAGAAAUGAUAAGAAUGAGAUUUUGUGGAUAUGGGACUUUAAUAUACAGUGAGAGGAAUAUAAAUCAGCAUGACUUUUUGCUGGUGUUAUGUAAUAAAAUGUAAAACGUACAUACCAUUUCAUGCAGAAAAUUUAUAUCCAAGAAUCUAUCCCAAUGAGGUAGUUACAUAAAUAUGCAAGUAUACACAAGAUGUUCAUCACAAUUAGAAACAACCAAAAUGUCCACCAACAUGAGACUAGUUCAAAAAGAUACGAGGUAUUCAUACAAGAGACUUUAUGCAUCCACUGAAAAGAAUCAUGUAAUUCAUAUUGGUUGACUCAAAUAGAAGCUCCAUCACAUAUUUUCAAGACAAAAGGAAUUACAAAGCAGUAUGGUUGAUAUAAUCCCAUUUAUGUGCAAAUCAAAUAAAUUCCAGAUUUCACUGUGGUUCAAUUCAGCCCAGUGUCACAUUCACAGAAACAACCCAGCAACAAAAAGGCAUUACAGAGUAAUUUCAGCCUUGGCUCUCCAUUUUCAGAAAACAUUAAAGAACCUACAAUUCCUAACCCACAGCACCACAUCUUAAAAUAGUCUCUGUAUCCCACCUUUUUCAUCUUGUUCUCUAAUUCUCACACUGUAAUAGCUCCUGAAGGCUUUCUCCUCCCCAAUAUGCUUUUCUACUCUCAACCAAAGACAUCACAAUGAUACUCAAACAGAUCAGCCACUUCUCUUUUGUCCCUCUUCCUUCUUCCUUUGUUUUUUUUCUUCACUGAUUACCAUACUCCGAAAAAUAAGGUGGAGAAAGAAGAAAAUGCUAAGUGGACAAAAUUUCCUUUCCAGAGAGUAGGAGAAAAAGAGAUUGACUAUGCAUAUACUACAAUGUCUUAACCUUGUAGCAAGCGCAAAAUUAUUUAAGUGAUAUCUACUGCAUAUAUGCCUAGAAGUGUCUGCAAGGAUGUUGACAAAAUUCUUAAGAAUAAUUAUCUCAGUUGGGAUUUCCCUGUGAACUUUGCUUUUAAUUUUAUAUCUCUCCUUAUACCUCUUUGAGUAACUCAUGAUGAACAUGUUUUGUUUGUGAUCAAAACCACGAAAUAAACUCAUGUCAACAUGUAAAAAAAGAGGUUGUAAUGAUGCUCACAAGAAACAAUAGACAUGAAAAAAUACACAAUUUAAGUACAAAGUAUAAGCAUUUUAAAUAAAUACGAUUGGACUGUCUCUUCCAGUUUCCAACAUUAAUAAGCUCCAUUAUUUUGGAAUUAUUUUAAUUACUCCUACAUGUUAGAGUUGGUUAAUU